rnacentral:rRNA from 1 species
GCGCUGCAUUAGCUAGUUGGUAAGGUAACGGCUUACCAAGGCAACGAUGCAUAGCCGACCUGAGAGGGUGAUCGGCCACACUGGAACUGAGACACGGUCCAGACUCCUACGGGAGGCAGCAGUAGGGAAUCUUCCGCAAUGGGCGAAAGCCUGACGGAGCAACGCCGCGUGAGUGAUGAAGGUCUUCGGAUCGUAAAACUCUGUUAUUAGGGAAGAACAUAUGUGUAAGUAACUGUGCACAUCUUGACGGUACCUAAUCAGAAAGCCACGGCUAACUACGUGCCAGCAGCCGCGGUAAUACGUAGGUGGCAAGCGUUAUCCGGAAUUAUUGGGCGUAAAGCGCGCGUAGGCGGUUUUUUAAGUCUGAUGUGAAAGCCCACGGCUCAACCGUGGAGGGUCAUUGGAAACUGGAAAACUUGAGUGCAGAAGAGGAAAGUGGAAUUCCAUGUGUAGCGGUGAAAUGCGCAGAGAUAUGGAGGAACACCAGUGGCGAAGGCGACUUUCUGGUCUGUAACUGACGCUGAUGUGCGAAAGCGUGGGGAUCAAACAGGAUUAGAUACCCUGGUAGUCCACGCCGUAAACGAUGAGUGCUAAGUGUUAGGGGGUUUCCGCCCCUUAGUGCUGCAGCUAACGCAUUAAGCACUCCGCCUGGGGA